GCCCCAAAUCUUCUCCGCCCAAAAAAAAAAAAAAAAAUCUCUUUCACAAAACUGAACGUUAAAUUCCUCGCACCGUCAAAGCUCCACAAUUUCCAAACAUCCACAAUCCUCCUUAACGUCGCCUCCAAAUUUCAUCGGGUGAAUAAUGGCGACGUUUGAGCUUUACCGGAAGUCAACGAUCGGGAUGUGCUUGACGGAGACUUUAGACGAGAUGGUUUCAAACGGCACUCUCAGCCCUGAGCUCGCUAUUCAGGUUCUCGUCCAGUUCGAUAAGUCUAUGACUGAAGGCCUGGAAAGUCAAGUGAAGAGCAAGGUUAGCAUUCAGGGACAUCUUCACACCUAUAGAUUCUGCGACAAUGUGUGGACAUUCAUCUUACAUAAUGCUUCAUUUAAGAAUGAGGAUUCUCAGGAGACAGUUGGUCGGGUGAAAAUAGUAGCAUGUGACUCAAAGCUACUAUCACAAUGAAUUGUCAAUCAAUGUUGUCUGAUGUUAAUGGAAUGGGAUGGUUGACUGAGACUGGACAUAUAUUGACAAAAUGAUGGAACCUCUGUAUUUAUGACGAGAAUGGUUUCUAUUCCUCUGUCGAUUUAUUUCAGCCUUGCACCAGCUUGAAUAGGAUACGGCGGUGUUUGAAGUCAGUUGCU